rnacentral:snRNA from 1 species
UUAAUGCAGUUCAAUAUACUAAAAUUAGAAUAAUACAGAAGAGAUUAGCAUGGCCCCUGCGCAAGAAUGACGCGCAAAUUCGUAAAGCCUUCCAUAUGUUU